GUGCUGCAUGGCUGUCGUCAGCUCGUGUCGUGAGAUGUUCGGUUAAGUCCGCUAACGAGCGCAACCCUCGCUGUGUGUUAUAUGUGUCACACGGGACUGCCGGUCUUAAGCCGGAGGAAGGUGGGGAUGAUGUCAAGUCAGCAUGGCCUUUAUAUCCUGGGCUACACACACGCUACAAUGGCCAACACAAUAGGUUGCUAAGCCGCGAGGUGGCGCCAAUCCAUAAAGUUGGUCUCAGUUCAGAUUGUAGGCUGCAACCCGCCUGCAUGAAGAUGGAGUUGCUAGUAACCGCAGGUCAGCUAUACUGCGGUGAAUACGUUCCCGGGGCUU
rnacentral:rRNA from 1 species